ensembl:Mt_tRNA
AGAGUGUAGUGUAUAUUGGUUGCACGGUGGAUUUUGAAUCCUUAAGAAUAGGUUCAAUGCCUAUUACUCUAGA